AAAAUUUGUCACGCCAUUCUUCCUUUUGUUAUUCCUAUUUCUCCAUGCUUCUGUCCUUAUUCUCACUCUUCUUCUUGCUUCAUCUUUCUUUUGAUUCUACAUUUCAGUGUUUCACCUUUUCCUCCCUCUUCCUCUUAUCUUGUGACAUUCAUUCGCUGAUGGCGAAAGAAUUAGUGCCGGUGAUGCUGAUGAAGACGAAGACGAAGACGAAGGAAAUGAAAUGGUUCCCCGAUCUGGUUCUGGUUGAGAAAUGAAUUCUGAUUCAGAUGAGUCUGAUCUGGAUAUUGAGAGGAAAUCAAAAGCCAUUGAUGCAGAACAAGCUAGGCAAGAAAAGGAAGCAAGGGAGGAGUUGCAACUUAAUAUACUGGAAGAAUUAGAUGAAUUUAGGCUGCCAACCAAGGAGUUGUUGUGCUCUUUCAUUUGCUGCUGGUCUGCAUCUGCUGUAUGGGCUGCUUACUGUGUGAUCGUGUGUUUUCUGCAAAUUUGUGCCUCCUACUCCCUUCUUCCUGCCUGCUACUUUUCAGAUAUGGUGUCUUCUCAAUCCAUUCAGUAUUUGGCUCUUAUUCGAGCUCUUGAUUCACACUCACUGACAUCCCAAAUUAACUAGAGAAGUAUCUGCUUGUAAAUAAGUGUGAAGCUGUAUCGUCCGCCCUCUAAGGCAGAGUACAGUUAAGGUCAAAUUUGAAGAUUUUGGUAUUGUUUUAGAGCCUAAGCAGGAAAUUGUUCGAGGGAGAAGCUUGAUUCAUCAUCAUUUCUUAAUUAACGGUUAGCUCUAACAUUCGAUGCUGUAGAUAGCACAAGUUCUAUCAAUCUCACACCCUUCAAUGACCAUGUGGCAAAGUUGUUUGGAAAAAAAUUGAUGCUUUAUAUGCUCCUACAACUUAUGAGGAGAUUACUUCGAAAUAGCGUACUCAUUCAAAGAUAAACCAAUAUGCAUUGAAGUAGGGCUGACAAUUGCGCUAUCAUAAAACGGAGUCCAAAAGUGGGUGAUAAAAUCGCUUAUAGUCGAGCUGCUUGCUUCUCAAGAUAUGCAGCCACAAAUAGGACAACUCCAAUCCAACAUUUCGUCGAAGGACAUAAAUUGAAAUGGUACAUGUGCGCUCACUUCUCCACUGCCUCCAAAGUCAGAGAAUUCGCAAGUGUUUUUGACCCCUUCUUUUGCUAUCGAUCAAGUUGCCUUCCUGCCGUCUAUUUCUGUUCCAUCAUUGAAUACGUCAUUGUCUUUAGCAAGUCAGCCAGCAUCAAGUGCAGUAGAGUGUGAGCUGCAAGUUUGUCGUUGUUUAGAUUUUGGUCAGAUGGCGUGUAGUUCUAAUCUAAAUGACCCACCUGCUGACGUUCUACCCUAAUUGUUUUUGGGCUUUUUAUGUUAUGCACAACAACUUUUGAACACUCUUCAUGAUGUGCAUUGAAAUUUUUGUAGUCUUAUCAUGGAUGCUUAAAACUUGUUUACAUGGGCUGCUUUUUGGAAAUAUUAAAUUAAAGUUGCAGCUGUUA